rnacentral:sRNA from 1 species
UCGGUCAGUUAGCAACUAAUGCACCUCAGAUUAAGCUGUUUUGAAGUGUAAGAUAUAAGGGAUGAAUAUGGAAGAGUUAUCAUAGGAUUUUACCCAAGUCCAUGUCAAUCUAGAGGAAAUUUAGUGUCUUCGAAGAAGACCCGUUGGUGUUACGGUUUAAUCCCCCAAAUACCAAACAUACAGCCCCAAGGCCCUGUAGAUUAGGAGUUGUAAAUUGGCCAAAUACAAAAUAUAGACAUGUUUACCUGUCUAAACGUUACACUAUGUUCAAAACAAGAACUGCACAUUAAAAUAUUGAUUUCUGUGAAAAUUGAGAAGAUCUGGCAACCUGGGGCUCAUGUUUAUGCAUGGCAAUGAUUAAAUGUAGUGGCUUUCCUUCUUAGCCCCUCCAUUACAUUGCUUUACCACCUGGCAGACUCAUACCUUUACCUUAUCUCCCAAGCCCUGUGGUAUAUAGGGGUUUGAGACUCCUGUUAUACACGAGGUUCAGUACCUCUGUUGGCAGAAUAAGAAAGAGACCCAAAGAAGUGAAGUUGUUCAAGUUCACAUAGCAUGUCGGGGUGUAGUUAGAACUAGUUGCAUUCCCAAUCCAGGGCUAUUCAUGGUUAUGUCACGCAGUGAGCACACUAUACCUAGGGCUUUGGAGAGGGGAGGGAGGUGGCUUCAUAGACAGGCCCCUCCCCAGGCAAAGCAGUGAGAACAUGGCUGUUUCCUCUUGUAGUGGACUAUGCUGUGGAGCAGGCCCACCAGGGUGUGUUCUUCAAUCAAGGUCAGUGCUGCACUGCAGGCUCUCGCAUCUUCGUGGAGGAGUCCAUCUAUGAGGAGUUUGUGAGAAGAAGCGUGGAGCGGGCCAAGAGGCGCAUAGUGGGGAGUCCCUUUGACCCCACCACUGAGCAGGGUCCCCAGAUUGAUAAGAAACAGUACAACAAGAUCUUGGAACUCAUCCAGAGUGGUGUGGCCGAGGGCGCCAAGCUGGAAUGUGGAGGCAAAGGACUGGGCCGAAAGGGGUUUUUCAUUGAGCCCACAGUGUUUUCCAACGUCACUGAUGAUAUGCGGAUUGCCAAGGAGGAGAUCUUUGGCCCUGUUCAGGAAAUUUUGAGAUUUAAGACGAUGGAUGAAGUUAUCGAAAGAGCCAAUAACUCAGACUUUGGACUCGUAGCAGCUGUCUUUACUAAUGACAUCAACAAGGCCCUCACAGUGUCUUCUGCAAUGCAAGCUGGGACUGUUUGGAUCAAUUGUUAUAAUGCCUUAAAUGCCCAGAGCCCCUUUGGGGGAUUCAAGAUGUCUGGAAAUGGGAGAGAAAUGGGAGAAUUUGGCUUGCGGGAGUACUCAGAAGUUAAGACGGUGACAGUAAAGAUCCCCCAGAAGAACUCCUAAGAAGGCCAAGAAGGAAGAUGAAGCCCAGCCUGCACGUCUGUCCCUCUCUGCUUUCUCUGUAGGGCCCAGCUCUCAGGAAUACAAAGUUGAGCCACGGUCCUUACUUAAAGAUUGAAAAGAUAACAUGUAGGCCAGGCAGGUCACUGCACAACUAAAGCAAACCAGCUGGGUAGUUUCUUGGCACUCUGUAAGGGGCCACCUUAAUCAUACCAAAUAUCGGGGAAAGUGGGAUAAAGGGAGGAGGAGGAGCUAGCAGACACAUCCAGUAUCUCCUUCUGGAGCACAGGAUGAAAUAAGGGAGCUGUAUUAUUUCAUGCCUUUGUCACAAAGAACUUUCCUCUUAAGGAAAGGUGACCUUUCUACUGUCUUCAUUUUCCUCCUUCCAGGCCCUCCUCGCUCACCCACCCCUCCCUCUCUUCCAAGGAGAUCUCAGCUGAGCUCAUUCUGGGGCAGAUGUUUGGGCCGGGAACAAUUUUCCAAGGUUGUAAAGCCAAAUUAUCAUUUCAUGUUAUCCAUUUCUUCAAAGCAAAACAUGAAAUGGUUUUAGCUAGAGUCAGACCAGAAUGAAAAUGCCAGGAGCUGGUACACUACAGAUGUAGUAAGAACCUGGGAUAUUCCUGACCCAAUCUGGUUUUCUUUUACCCAUAAAUAACAUGAAUGAAAAAAGAUUGGGACAAUAGAGACUGGAAGUCAUCAUGUGCAGUUCACCGCUUCUGAGCUUGCUGCAGUUUUGGGGUGUGUGUGUAUUAGAUUCCUUCUCAGUUAUUCUGGAAUAAGGCAAGGAGUGGGUUGUUUUUCAUAGCUAGAUAAGAUCUUUUCCAAAGUUUUUCUUAGAACCAACCAAAAAACAAUCCGAGUAGGCCCAAGAAUUUGAUAAUGCUGGAAGCCUUGCAGACAUCAUUCAGUUUCUAAUAUUGGGCAACAAUUAUUAUUAAAUGAAUUAUUUCUGUAGUUGGAAUCUGUACCUUCUGAACCUCUACACCAAUAACUGCUGCAGGUGUGAUUUUGGUCUGUCACACUGUACCCUACAUCUAUCAUAAUGUGCCCUGUAUCUAUUGGCAGUGACCUUGGAAAAUCUGGCCAAGCCUAGGGGUUUCCUUUUCCAUUUGCCAAGUUCCAUUGUGCCAGGACUGCCGUGCUCCACUGAGCUCCUCUGUCACACCCCAUUCUUGCCCCUCACUGAGCAGGCCAUGGCCUACAACUUGCAGGGAGUAAAGCAGGCCCGCCUCCCUUUCUUCCCAUCCACAUACUCCUCUUCUGCUUUCCAGUGACUCCACCAGUUUGAUGUGGGAAGUGUUAGCUUCCUUUCCUUCUUCCAUCCUUUCUUCCAUCUUUCCAGCUGUCAAAUCCAAUCCAGUCUCUAACCUAGAUGCAGAUCAUUUAUUUAAAAGUACCAAACAUAACCCAGAGUAUGUGGAAUAUGGGCAACAUAUAUAUAGCCUUCUGUAUUUAACGAUCUUCUGCUUCUUAACCGUACCAGUUUUCUAUUUAUAACUCUUAUCUAUCCAUGAUGUUUUAAAGUCUCCACUUGCUGUUAUUUACAAACGACAGUGCAUUCAGCAGCCCAGUGCCGUGAGCCCUGACAGAUGCCGUAUUUCUGAGUGCUUCCAUGUGAAUGCUGCCCUCCUGUAGCAUGUGUCCAAGUGGACAUAGCCACUAACCAACUAGUUACCUUUGGACUGCAACAAAAAAUGUGAAAAUGAAGAUUUAUUUCUUUUAAUUUACUUAAAAAGAAACCUCUGUGCUAGCAAUAAAGCAUUUAUAUUGUGUA